GGUGUAGAGGAAUCCAACUGAUUUUUGUAUGUUUAUCUUGUAUCCCACUACUCUGCUGAACUCUUCUAUUAGUUUCAGUAGUUUUCUUGAGGAUUCCUUAGGGUUUUCUGUGUAUAAGAUCAUGUCAUCUGCAAAUAGAGAUACUUCUCUUCUUCCUUGCCAAUCUGGAUGCCCAUUAUUUCUUUAUCUAGCCUAAUUGCUCUAGCUAGGACCUCCAACACAAUGUUGAAUAAGAGUGGUGAUAAAGGGCAUCCUUGUCUGGUUCCUGAUCUCACUGAGAAUGCUUUCAGGCUCUCUCCAUUUUGGGUGAUGUUGGCUGUUGGCUUUGUAUAAACGCCCUUUAUCAUGUUGAGGAAUUUUCCUUCUACUCCUAUUUUGCUGAGAGUUUUUAUCAUGAAUGGGUUUCGAACUUUGUCAAAUGCCUUUGCUGCAUCAAUUGACAAAAUCAAGUGAUUCUUGUCUUUUAUUUAUGUGAUGGAUAACAUUAAUUGUUUAUCAGAGCUUUGCGUCUCUUUAUAGCUGAAUAAUAUUCUAUUGUAUGGGUAUAUCACAUUUUGUUUAUUCUUUCAUCUUUUGAUGGACUCUUGGGUUGUUUCCACCUUUUGCUCAUUGUGCAUAGUGUACAUUUGUGUACAUGAAUCUGUUUGAGUUCCUGCUUUCAAGUCUUUUGGGUACAUAGCUAGGAGUGGAAUUGUUGGGUCAUGUGGUAACUCUGGUGCCCUGGUGGUACAGUGGUUAAAACUCCACUGCUAACCAAAAGCUCAGUGGUUCGAAUCCACCAGCUGCUCCUCAGAAACCCUAUGAUGCAGGCUACUCUGUCCUAUAGGGUUGUUAUGAGUCAGAAUUAACUUGACAGCAAUGGUUUUUUUUAUAUGGUAAUUCUAUGUUUAACUUUUUGAGGAACUAGUUGCUUCUUUUGAAAGAAAGUGUGAGGGCCUUCCAGGAGACCACCUAUCUUGAGGGGAUUGUCCCAUUUAUUAGUCCAUGGGACUGCCUGCCACGUCACCUUCAUCUCACCCACUACUACCUAUCUACACCACUACCACCACCACCAGUUGACGUCAAGUCAAUCCUGACUCAUGGUAACCCCAUGUGUGUCAGAGUAGAACUGUGCUCUAUAGGGUUUUUCGUGACUGUGAUCUUUUGGAAGCAGAUCAUCAAGCCUUUCUUCUGCAGUGCCCCUGGGUGGAUUCGAACUGCCUACCUUUUGGUUAGUAGCCGAGCACUUAACCAUUUGUACCACCCAGGGACUCCAUUUUCUCUAUCUAGUUGGGCUUAAAAACAGAAUUGUUCUGACUCAAACUGGAAUUUAGGAAUACACUGUUAAGAGCUGGAAAGUUCAUGUUGGAAAAAAAUCUCAGGUCAAUGAUCAAAAUGCAGAGGUGUUCCUAGUUUAGAGGUGUGCAUGGGUUGGACAGCUUUUUAACACCUGUUUAGGAUCCAGCCUUGCAGAGCUUCAGCUCCCUCAGUCAGAGGCCAACCUUGUCCCCAUAAAUGAUGUGUGUCUCCUAAAGAACAGCCAGAUGCUUUAAAAAAAAAAUUUUUUUUUAGAUGCUUUACGCAGGGUGAAAUGCAGGUGUCCACCCAACCACCAUGUUGGAAAGAUGGCAUGAAGAUCUAAAAAAGGUAACACCUGUGCUUUCAUUUUUAGAAGGACCUGAAAACUUGAAGAGGAAGGGGACAGCCGUUACCUUGAGUGCCUGCCUUUGCGGAGACAGCACCGUCCUUCCAUGGGUUCAUGUUGGACAAUUUGGACGGCAGCACAAGCCUUCAGUGCCUUACCUUCUGGCACUAACAGCAGAGCCACAGGGAGGCACAUCUUCCCAUUCCUCUGCACCUAGAACCAAUGGUUUCUAACACCUCCAGCAAACCACUAGGCUCUGGACUAAAAUGACCUUGAAGCUCCUUUCUAACCUUCACUAAGAACAAAAGCAGAAAUGCCUCCCAAGUACUACCUUUUCCCACUUGUCCAUUUCACUUUUCCUCCAGGGGUCAUUCAAUAUUACUGACAAGACAGGCAAAGGUCACCCAACAAGGAAUCGACAGUCACUUGAAAAAGAUGUGUCCACACCCAGCUGCAUGAGUGCAGGCACUGUAGAUUCAGCCGUCUGCAGGUUCUUACUUCUAGGGACCAGAACCAAGCCAACAUUUUCCACUACCAACAUCUCGUUUCACAUGUGGCGAGCUUCAUCUAUUAAAUAUUCCUUUUAAUGCUUAUUUUUAUUAUUUCCUUGUAGCUUCUGGUGCUUGGUGUACUAUUGUCCCUUGCUUUCAAAGAACUUAUGUCCUCUAACGCAAUCAUGAAUUGGAGCUUGUUGGAACUAAUACUCACUGCUCAUGUAAAUUGAAAUCAUAAGCUUCGUCCCAGGGCUUUGGUUACUUUUAUCUUAUCUAUAUACAUUGUGCUUUUUGCAUCUCUCUGUUAGAACAGGUAUCUUCAUAGAUCAGAAUUAUCUUAUACUCACAACACUCAAAGCAGAGUAAGAAAAGAUAAACUGCUGGAGUAAGACAGGGCCAUGGAAACCCCAGAAAGCAUUUACUGAAGACAGCAUAGAAGAUCACAUGUCUUCAGGAAGGCAAUGGCUUCCCUAUCUCUCAGUACAAGUCCCACUAAUCAAUCAUGCACCUGCAGACUUAGAGUCCCCUCUAGAUUAACCACACACAUCUGUAGUGCUGGUAACACACACACACAUAACCCAGGAGGGGCUACUUAUCAACUGAUGCUUUAUCACACGUUACUUCAUCCGAAUAUGAACCAGUUGCUUUGCCUUGAGGCAAGAGUGGACAAGAUGGAUGAGUUUAAAAGAAAAGAGAGAUAUGUGCUGUGGCGAGCCAUGCAAGAAGUAAUUGUGGCUACCCUGGUAUCACACGGGAGAAGUGUCAAAAUAAAGGCUGUUGUUUUGAUGACAAGAUUCCUGGAGUCCCGUGGUGCUUCUAUCCUGCAGUUGUAGACGAAGAGUGUGAGUUUUAGAACGGUUUCUCCAGGAAUCUGCUUGCACCAUGAGUCGGAACCUGUCCUCUGCACCUGGCCCUGGAACUCAGCCACCGCUUCGAGUGGACAUGUUGGAAUCCCGUUCAGAGCUGGGCGUUCUACUUCUGCACUCUGCCUUAGCUCUCUUCUUACAAGGACUGCUCUGAAUCUGAGUACUAAAAACUAGCCUAGAAAUUCAAAGAGAUGAAUGCUCUUCUGUACUUUCAGUUCUUUUAAAAAAUAUAAAAUA